UACGGAGGGGGCUGGCGUUGUUCGGAAUUACUGGGCGUAAAGCGCACGUAGGCGGCUUUGUAAGUUAGAGGUGAAAGCCCGGAGCUCAACUUCGGAAUUGCCUUUAAGACUGCAUCGCUUGAAUCAUGGAGAGGUCAGUGGAAUUCCGAGUGUAGAGGUGAAAUUCGUAGAUAUUCGGAAGAACACCAGUGGCGAAGGCGACUGACUGGACAUGUAUUGACGCUGAGGUGCGAAAGCGUGGGGAGCAAACAGG
rnacentral:rRNA from 1 species